AAUGAACGCUGGCGGCAGGCCUAACACAUGCAAGUCGAACGAGUGGCGGACGGGUGAGUAAUGUCUGGGAAACUGCCUGAUGGAGGGGGAUAACUAGUGGAAACGGUAGCAAAUACCGCAUACCAUCGGAUGUGCCCAGAUGGGAUUAGCUAGUAGGUGGGGUAAAGGCUCACCUAGGCGACGAUCCCUAGCUGGUCUGAGAGGAUGACCGGCCACACUGGAACUGAGACACGGUCCAGACUCCUACGGGAGGCAGCAGUGGGGAAUAUUGCACAAUGGCCGCAAGCCUGAUGCAGCCAUGCCGCGUGUAUGAAGAAGGCUUUCGGGUUGUAAAGUACUUUCAUCGGGGAGGCGUUACCCGCAGAGAAAGCACCGGCUAACUCCGUGCCAGCAGCCGCGGUAAUAC
rnacentral:rRNA from 1 species